rfam:Arabidopsis thaliana chromosome 2, complete sequence.
ACAUUGAAGAGAAGGAAUGGUAAGAUUGCUUAUAAGCUGGAUCUUGAGGGUGAGUGGUCUCUUCUACGCAUUGGGCUUAUAAGCCAUCUUACUAGUUCUUCUUUUCAAUGU